UACGGAGGGUGCAAGCGUUAAUCGGAAUUACUGGGCGUAAAGCGCGCGUAGGCGGUUUUUUAAGUCGGAUGUGAAAGCCCCGGGCUCAACCUGGGAACUGCAUCCGAUACUGGAAGACUAGAAUGCGGGAGAGGGAGGUAGAAUUCCAUGUGUAGCAGUGAAAUGCGUAGAUACAUGGAGGAAUACCAGUGGCGAAGGCGGCCUCCUGGCUCGACAUUGACGCUGAGGUGCGAAAGCGUGGGGAGCAAACGGG
rnacentral:rRNA from 1 species